rnacentral:rRNA from 1 species
UACGGAGGGUGCAAGCGUUAAUCGGAAUUACUGGGCGUAAAGCGUGCGCAGGCGGUUUGUUAAGUCUGCUGUGGAAUCCCCGAGCUCAACUUGGGAAUUGCAGUGGAUACUGGCAGGCUGGAGUAUGGUAGAGGAAGGUGGAAUUCCCGGUGUAGCAGUGAAAUGCGUAGAGAUCGGGAGGAACACCAGUGGCGAAGGCGGCCUUCUGGACCAAUACUGACGCUGAAGCACGAAAGCGUGGGGAGCAAAAAGG